UGAUGUCGGUGCAGGUUGUGUCAGCAGCGGCUGCCGCCAAGGUGCCUGAGGUGGAGCUGAAGGAUCUGAGCCCCUCUGAGGCGGAGCCUCAGUUAGGACUGAGCACGGCGACCGUGGGCGCCAUGGUACCCCCAGCGGGUGGCGGGGACCCAGAGGCUCCAGCUCCAGCUCCCGCGGCAGAGCGGCCCCCGGCCCCUGGCCCGGGCUCGGGGCCCACCGCGGCUCUCAGCCCUGCGGCAGGGAAGGUCCCUCAAGCGUCGGCCAUGAAGCGGAGCGACCCUCAUCACCAGCACCAGCGGCAUCGCGACGGCGGCGAGGCCCUGGUCAGCCCCGACGGCACGGUCACCGAGGCGCCGCGCACGGUCAAGAAGGUACUGGGGUCGGGCUGCCUCUCUUCUCGGAGAGGCGGGGAGGGCGGGCAUGGGAGCGGCGGCCCUUCACGGCACCGCAGCACCCCGUUCCACACCCUCUAGGUCGUGGAGCCGAGAGUCUUUUCCCACCCUUGAACCCGCUCUUAGAGCGGCCG
rnacentral:lncRNA from 1 species